rnacentral:Y_RNA from 1 species
GGCUGAUUUGAGUGCAGUGGUAUUUACAACAAACUGAUCACAACCAGUUACAGAUUUAUUUGUUCCUUCUCCUCCCGACUGCUUUCACUUGAUAGCCUUUG